CUGCAUAUGUCUCUUUAGUUUAUGACUGGGUCUCGAACUUACGUUAUGCAAAGUUAGCUGCAGUAGGUUUAAUAUAAAUUAACAUACUUAUGAAAUGUCAAGGAGCAUUAAUUGAUAAUUUCGGAGGCCUAUCUCACUAAAUACCAAUCCAAUUCUGAAACCUGUCUUUGCAAGUUUAAUGUAUGGAGAAUAAUGCUUAUUCAUGAAUAGCUUAUAUAACUUGGAAUUAAUUAUAUGGUAGCUACAACUGUCACAGUUAGUCUUUCUGUAAAAUAAAGAGCCUAAAAUAAAGUUUUGUGCCCCAUAAGGGAACUACUGAGAUGGCUAUUCAGCACUUUGGAAAACCAGGCCACAUCAUUUUGUGUGUAAAUAUUGACUUACUAACCUAAUUUUGGGCCCACUUUUGCAAGCGAAUUGGCCUAUAUAAAAGCAUUUAAUACCGGCAGCUUCUCCUGAAUUGUGAAUGAGCGUGGCGGAGGUGAGCCGGGCUGGAAACGCGGUGUAGUCCCCAGCCUGCGGAAGCUGGCCCAGCACAGCGCGCCCGGCGAAUAACCCCCUCCACAGCUAGCACGAAGGAAAGUGGGGGUGGCAGAAAAAAGACCCUGUCUUUGUAGAUCUGUCAGUAAAUCUGGAAGAAGAAACCCAGCCUCCUGAUCUGCAGAGUGGCCAUGGCGCCGAGUAUCUCCGAUUAAAAUAGGCGAAAGAAACUAAAGAAGGAUCAUUUAUUGGAAUAAUGGGAAAAAUGUUGGUGGGUUCCUUUGCCCGUCCUGUCCUGCGGUCUGACCACCAUUUCAGCUAGGAGUCAUCACUAUUAUGGGCCCGUUCAGACGUGUUCAGGCGAGUAUUAACUAUUGAUUAAUAUAGGCCUGACUUAUACAGAAUAUGAGCUUCUCUCUUCACUCCUUCAUCCCAUCCAUCAAAAAGUGUUGACAUCUCCGAGAGCACCUUGCCUUCUCCCCUGCUCGGCUGCGGGAAGCUCGUGCCGCUUCCAGCAAGGAGUGUGGGCAGCUUUCUCUGAGCACCGCGGUGGGCCGGGUUCAUCGCUCAGGGGACCUUUACUGCCUGCCUGAACAAAGCUGCUGCUGAGACUCAGGGCCCGUCUUCCCAUCUUCUGCCGCUCAGGAAUCUCCCGGUGAACUCCACGCAUCCCGCCACAGCGCCCGGUGGCCCGCCAUCCCCGUGGCCUCCGCUCUGCUGCCGGGGAGGCACGUUUCCCCGCGGCCGUUAGUGCGGAGGCGCUGGGCCACUGCCCCGGGUGAGCGUAGGCUGCCGUGAUUUCCACCGAGCUCCAGCCAGGAAAACGCUCCAUCAAAGUCUGUUUGAUUUAUGAGGCCAGCCUUGCCUCUCCCACGGAGCAGAUCCGUCCCUCCGGGACAAACCAGCGGUUCCAGUGGGGGAAUAAAUCCAGGCAGGCUGAGCGAAGCGGUGUACGCCUGCGCAAACCCACCACCCUGUCUUGCAGGAGCACUCUGGGAACAUGAGGAUGAACAAGGAGGCAGAGGAGCUGAAGGCAAAGGCAUAGAUCAUCAGGUCUAUGGGAAGGAGCAGCCAUCGGUUUAACAUAGCACUUAACAGCAACGCUGGCGCUUUGGAAGGUGCUUCCUUCCCUCCCUGCCCCAGCUGGUGCCACAGAUGCUAGCUGUCCCUGCCUCGCAGUCAGAGGGGAGCUGCACGACUCGAGGCAGUCGCAGAGAGAGCACGUCAGCAAGAGACCGCGGAAGAGCUCGCUCAAGCUGAAACUCCUCCAGGCUUUUUUGGAGCAAGUCAGACAGGCUACUUCAGCUAAGUAUCAAAAGCAGAUGCCUGCAAGGAAGGACAUUUAUCCUGUGCAGAAGAAACAUACUUAUUAUGCGCAUUGGCUGAACAUGAAAGAAACAUGCAGCUAAGCAGAAUUCAAAGUCACUGGCAGAAAAUAAGGCAGCAAAAUCAGAUGAAGGCAAUUGGAGAAACUAUAAAGGUGUAAGCAAUGGACGGAAUAGUAAUGAAGGAAUUAGAUAAAAGAUGGGGAAUAGGUAUCACUUUGAAGAGUAAAAGGUAAGCAAAGCAAAAUGCCCAGUAAAUGUCCCAGUGACAGUAUCCCAGCAACAAUAAAUUCUGCUUGUGAUAGAUCAGGCUGAGAAAAUGCCAAGGACUGUCAGUUUUCUCAUCUCUUGCCAAAAAGACAUGAUCGGUGGUGCCAUUCUGUAGUGUUCAGUGUGUUGCUUAGGUGCGUAUGACUUUUGUGCAGCAACUCCUGCCAAGAAAAUUAUUCAAAGAGACAGGAGUCGUCAGACGGUACUGAUGGUCUGCGUUAGGGCCUUUUGAAGAAGUAGCUGUUGACUGUGGGAGUUAAUUUGACUUCCAGUUAAGCUGGAAGGUGCUGACAAAGAGGUCACAUUGCUGGCUUGGCAGCUUUGGGGUUAUUUUUUCCACUCAGAAGUGAUGUUGGCCUCUUAGCUUAUCUGCUACCAGGAAAAAGGAACGGGAUGGCAUGUUGCCACAUGGAUCAGUUUAUCAACUUAACAGGGCUGGACAGAUUAAAAUAAAUUGGAAUUUCGUAUAGAUGAGCAUCUACGUGGCAGUAAACAGUAUCAGAUGAAGGAAGACUCAUGCAUUUCUUGAGGGGCCUGGGAGGAGAAGACUAAUGCAGAUGCACUUAGGUAUUCUGCCAGUGUAAGGAAAGAAACUCAUAAACAGUCAGAUGUCUCAGAAAAGUCUGAGUGGAGGAAUAAUAGCCAUCGGUAAUGACAGACAUUUGAAUUGGAUGAGUUCCCAGUUCUAGAAAAGGGUAUCAAGAUCCUAAGUUUAUUACUGAUGGCACUGAAAGGUUUUUUUUUUUCUUUUUUCUUUUUCUACUCCCAUGAUCUGGUUAGUAUCUCAGCAUAUGAAGGCAGGUGUUAGAAGGAGGCUGGAAAGAAAAUGAAAAAACUGCAUAAAUGGGCUAGGACAACAGCUGUACAUUGGCAAGGACCAUGAAGAAAGUAAGAAGAACCGGAGAUAAUCCUGAAUGACAAGGGCUUUGUUUUUCCAGCUAUCACUAAAACAUGGUGCAGAGAGUCUGAGGAAAUGGCAAGUCACUAUUUCCACAGCCUUUCUGAAUCACUGAGCCUCUUUUUCUUUAUAUGAUGCCCUAGACCAAAUUUUAAAGGUACCCGCGCACCAAAAGACUGAUUAGCAUAUAGGAAAUUCACUGCUCCCCUAUUCAAAAUCUUACACAUUUCUAGAAUUUUAAAAUUGUAUCCUGUGUUGUUCAGUUAGGGGUGCCGAAAUGAAUUCAGGAGAUUAUUGCGUGGAGAAUAUGUGAAUACUCAUGUGAGUAACUCUUUCAGAUUUCCCCAUAGUGAAAUUAUCUCGAGCAGUGAAUCAUUUUUGGACUUCAUAAAGGUCAUUUUAAGUUCCCCUGAACUUUUAAAGUUAGCUAUUUAAGAAAGAAAGAAAGAAAAAGAAGGAAAGAAAGAAAGAAAGAUUAGUGUAGAUAAAUGUCAGUCUGAUGAAGCACCCUGAGAAGCACUCCGGCAGGUCAUUCGUGUGACCUCCCUGGUCGCGUUUGGGGAAGAGAGAGAAGUCAGCAGUGUUACUUUCCCUGGUGAGAGUUUGCAAUUGAAAUACCAUCUCUGCUUCUUGCAGCGUGUUUAAAUGGAAGUUCAUUGCCUUCCUGGGCUCCCGGAUCUUUUAACCAAACUCUCAGAAAUGACAAAGGCAAAGUUCGAUCUCUGCUUAUAAGUUAAAGCCAAAGCAUGAUGAUCUGGACUGGCUGAAGGCAGCUGGUUCUUUGCAGGGAGAGACCUCAUGGAGACCUGCCGUCCUGUCCCAUCGUCUGGGGAGGUUGCACCUGCGAGGGGGUAAGGAGGACGGGGCCAGGCUCUUUUCAGGGGUGCCCAGUGUUAGGACGAGAGUCAACGGGCACAGACUGAAACACAGGAGGGUCCAUCUGAACAUAAGGAAAAGCUUCAUUACUGCGAGGGUGACUGAGCACUGGAGCAGGUCGUCCAGAGAGGUUGUGGCAACUCCAUCCUUGGAGAUGUGCAAAACCCGACUGGACACGGUCCUGGGCAGCCUGUUUGAGCUGAGCCUGCUUGAGCAGGGGGUUGAACUAGACCGUCUC